rnacentral:rRNA from 1 species
AAUAAGGGCUGACGGUGGAU